GACGAACGCUGGCGGCGUGCUUAACACAUGCAAGUCGAACGGAAAGGCCCUGCUUGCAGGGUACUCGAGUGGCGAACGGGUGAGUAACACGUGGGUGAUCUGCCCUGCACUUCGGGAUAAGCCUGGGAAACUGGGUCUAAUACCGGAUAGGAGCCAUUUUUAGUGUGAUGGUUGGAAAGUUUUUUCGGUGUAGGAUGAGCUCGCGGCCUAUCAGCUUGUUGGUGGGGUAAUGGCCUACCAAGGCGGCGACGGGUAGCCGGCCUGAGAGGGUGGACGGCCACAUUGGGACUGAGAGACGGCCCAGACUCCGACGGGAGGCAGCAGUGGGGAAGAUUGCACAAUGGGCGCAAGCCUGAUGCAGCGACGCCGCGUGGGGGAUGACGGCCUUCGGGUUGUAAACUCCUUUCGCUAGGGACGAAGCGUUUUGUGACGGUACCUAGAUAAGAAGCACCGGCUAACUACGUG
rnacentral:rRNA from 1 species